rnacentral:miRNA from 1 species
AGUAGAGAAGGGGUUUCACCAUGUUGGCCAGGCUGGUCUCAAACUCCUGACCUCAGGUGAUCCACCCACC